GAGAGGCCCAGCGGGAGUCGCGGAACAGCAGGCCCGAGCCCACCGCGCCGGGGCCCGGACGCCGCGCGGAAAAGAUGAAUUUACGACCAAUUUUCUGGAUUGGACUGAUCAGUUCAGUUUGCUGUGUGUUUGCUCAAACAGAUGAAAAUAGAUGUUUAAAAGCAAAUGCCAAAUCAUGUGGAGAAUGUAUACAAGCAGGGCCAAAUUGUGGGUGGUGCACAAAUUCAACAUUUUUACAGGAAGGAAUGCCUACUUCUGCACGAUGUGAUGAUUUAGAAGCCUUAAAAAAGAAGGGUUGUCCUCUAGAUGACAUAGAAAAUCCCAGAGGCUCCAAAGAUAUAAAGAAAAAUAAAAAUGUAACCAACCGUAGCAAAGGAACAGCAGAGAAGCUCAAGCCAGAGGAUAUUACUCAGAUCCAACCACAGCAGUUGGAUUUGGCUCAUUUGUGGAAAAGACUGUGAUGCCUUACAUUAGCACAACACCAGCUAAGCUCAGGAACCCUUGCACAAGUGAACAGAACUGCACCAGCCCAUUUAGCUACAAAAAUGUGCUCAGUCUUACUAAUAAAGGAGAAAUAUUU
rnacentral:sRNA from 1 species